rnacentral:ncRNA from 1 species
ACCUCGGGGUGCCUUUAAAUAGGCUGAGAUGCAUGGUGCGAACCCGUUGAACCUGAACCGGUUAAGACCGGCGGAGGAAAGGUUU